rnacentral:rRNA from 1 species
UACGGAGGGGGCUAGCGUUGUUCGGAAUUACUGGGCGUAAAGCGCACGUAGGCGGCUAUUCAAGUCAGAGGUGAAAGCCCGGGGCCCAACCCCGGAAUUGCCUUUGAAACUAGAUAGCUAGAAUCACGGAGAGGUAAGUGGAAUUCCGAGUGUAGAGGUGAAAUUCGUAGAUAUUCGGAAGAACACCAGUGGCGAAGGCGGCUUACUGGACGUGAAUUGACGCUGAGGUGCGAAAGCGUGGGGAGCAAACAGG